AUCCCUGUAGCGCAAUAGAUAGUGCGUUGAGCUUCUAACCCAAUGGCCGUGAGUUAGAAUCCUACCUGGGAUA